AAGUCAGAUGUGAAAUCCCUCGGCUCAACCGAGGAAUUGCGUUUGAUACUGCAGUCCUUGAGUGCAGGAGGGGAGAGUGGAAUUCCUGGUGGAGCGGUGAAAUGCGUAGAUAUCAGGAAGAACGCCGGAGGCGAAAGCGACUCUCUGGCCUGUUACUGACGCUGAGGUGCGAAAGCCAAGGGAGCGAACAGGAUUAGAUACCCUGGUAGUCUUGGCUGUAAACGAU
rnacentral:rRNA from 1 species